rnacentral:rRNA from 1 species
UACGUAGGGUGCAAGCGUUAAUCGGAAUUACUGGGCGUAAAGCGUGCGCAGGCGGUUUUGUAAGUUUGUCGUGAAAUCCCCGGGCUCAACCUGGGAAUGGCGAUGAAGACUGCAAGGCUAGAAUCUGGCAGAGGGGGGUAGAAUUCCACGUGUGAGCAGUGAAAUGCGUAGAGAUGUGGAGGAACACCGAUGGCGAAGGCAGCCCCCUGGGUCAAGAUUGACGCUCAUGCACGAAAGGCGUGGGGAGCAAACAGG